rnacentral:rRNA from 1 species
AGUGAACGCUGGCGGUAGGCCUAACACAUGCAAGUCGAACGGCAGCACAGUAAGAGCUUGCUCUUACGGGUGGCGAGUGGCGGACGGGUGAGGAAUACAUCGGAAUCUACUUUUUCGUGGGGGAUAACGUAGGGAAACUUACGCUAAUACCGCAUACGACCUACGGGUGAAAGCAGGGGAUCUUCGGACCUUGCGCGAUUGAAUGAGCCGAUGUCGGAUUAGCUAGUUGGCGGGGUAAAGGCCCACCAAGGCGACGAUCCGUAGCUGGUCUGAGAGGAUGAUCAGACACACUGGAACUGAGACACGGUCCAGACUCCUACGGGAGGCAGCAGUAGGGAAUAUUGGACAAUGGGCGCAAGCCUGAUCCAGCCAUACCGCGUGGGUGAAGAAGGCCUUCGGGUUGUAAAACCCUUUUGUUGGGAAAGAAAAGCAGCAGGUUAAUACCCCGCUGUUCUGACGGUACCCAAAGAAUAAGCACCGGCUAACUUCGUG